rnacentral:rRNA from 1 species
CCUACGGGUGGCAGCAGUGAGGAAUAUUGGUCAAUGGACGAGAGUCUGAACCAGCCAAGUAGCGUGAAGGAUGACUGCCCUAUGGGUUGUAAACUUCUUUUAUAUGGGAAUAAAAUGUUCCACGUGUGGGAUUUUGUAUGUACCAUAUGAAUAAGGAUCGGCUAACUCCGUGCCAGCAGCCGCGGUAAUACGGAGGAUGCGAGCGUUAUCCGGAUUUAUUGGGUUUAAAGGGUGCGCAGGCGGAUUUUUAAGUCAGCGGUCAAAUCGUGGGGCUCAACCCCAUCCAGCCGUUGAAACUGGGGAUCUAGAGUGUGCGAGAGGUAUGCGGAAUGCGUGGUGUAGCGGUGAAAUGCAUAGAUAUCACGAAGAACUCCGAUUGCGAAGGCAGCUCACUGGACUGCAACUGACACUGAGGCUCGAAAGUGUGGGUAUCAAACAGGAUUAGAUACCCUGGUAGUC